rnacentral:tRNA from 1 species
AGGGGUGUCGCCAAGCGGUAAGGCAGCAGGUUUUGAUCCUGCCAUGCGUUGGUUCGAAUCCAGCCACCCCUGCCA